UUAAAAGACUUCUCUCUCUUUUUAAG
rnacentral:piRNA from 1 species